UCUCCAUAUGGGCAGAAAUUUCAUCUCUUUUUUUCUUUUUUCUUUUUUGUUUUUGAAAAUUGAGGCACAAUUGACAUGUAACAUAUUAGUUUCAGGUAUACAACAUAAUGAUUUGAUAUUUGUAUAUUUUGUGAGAUGAUCACCACCAUAAGCAUAGUUAACAUCUAUCACAACACAGUU